rnacentral:lncRNA from 13 species
CCUUUCAGUGCCAUAUGUUCUCUCUCAAGAAGUUAAAAGCGCAGCAUUUCUUGUUUAUUAUAUUGGCAUAAAGAAGAGGAGUACCUGGACUUACUUUUCCAUUAAUAUGCCAAAGUACAUAUUCUGAGGAAAUUUCUGAUUCAAAACAUCUCUACAUUCUGGAAAAAAUGUAGCAGACAUUGUUAAUGCAACAACAUCCUUAUAGAAGAAUAAGAAAAAUUCCUAGAGGCUAAAAAAGAAAGAAAGGGAACCUUGGCUCUACCUCUGUACAAACCUCAUAAACAUAGCUGGUCCAAGAAGAAUUAAUCUCAUAAAAACGAUGGAAUCAUUAGUUCCUCCAACUCUGCUUAAAAUGGGACAACUGAACCUAACAGCUGAAAGCAACUUCUUCAUUGCCAUGGAUGAUAACAGUAUACAUAGGAGAGACGCCUUAUCCAAAUUUGGCACAUCUCUUUCUAGUCAUUGGUGCAGGCUGCACACAAAUCUUUGCCUCAGAGUUUUAUUCCUGGUAAGGAAGUUGUCCCUAUGGAGGUUAAUCAACUUGCUGAAGUUCAUUCCACCAGUAAAAGGAAUCCCUGCUUCCUUCUUGCUGUCUCUAUUUGACUGAUAUCAUCACUCACUCUCCCUCCCUACCCCCACUGUACCGACCAACUCAAAAAUACAUAAAUGCCAUCUGUUUCAUUAUCAAUUCAGUGCUAAUCAUCGCUAAUAGAUAUCAAGUAUCUUCUCAAAUUGUUUAUGUUCUACAAAUAUGUAAGAAGCACUUUCCUCCACUUCCCUCCCAGAGGCAUUUCUCAUGAACUUCUGGAUAACAUGGUACCUUUUUUAUUUACUUAGGGAAAUGCACUGAGCAACUAACUACACUUCGGUCUUA